CGCAUAGCCGGUUUGUGUAUAGCUAGCUAGCUUAGCUAGUAUAUAUCUACGUGAUUAUAUCUAACUAUCUAAGCCAUGAGCCUUUAUAUUAUUAUGCCAAUCUUCUGAAUAUAUAUACAUAUAUAGUCUGAACUGUUCGUCAUUAUCAGAGACGAGCGACAUGGGAGAGAUCAAGAAAAUGCAAGCUAAGAGUGAUGUGAUAGAGCUGCAUUUGCACCUGCACCUCCGAAGGGCGACUCUAGCUCGUGCAAGCAUGGUGACACAUAUGGUGUGUUCUUGAUGAUGCAUGCAUGCUCUCUUCCUUUAUAGGUGCAGGGGCAGAUGCAGUUCCAUCACAAACAUUCCAUGGUCAUAUAUAUAUAUACUUACAUACAAGCUUUAAUUUCCUUUGAUAUUAUUAUAUUUCAGCUAGCUAUUUAUUUUCUUUUGUUACUCCAGCAGAAAGUAUAUAUAUUAUUGUAUAUGCAUGUAUAGCUACAUCGAAGCUGGAUGCCUGGAUAUAAGAAUUUGAUCGAUGACCGAUGCCGCAUUAGGAAGAUCACCAAGAAAGGGAAGAUAUAGAGCUCCAGGGCGAUGUGGUAGAUCACCCAGAAAGUCUGUGUGGCAGAUGGAGCUGUGUCAAGACGUACAGUACAGCAUUUGUAACUCAACUCGCUCAGCAAAUGGAAAAGGUUUUAUAAAAAAGGUUUGUUAAGUACAUAUGAGGGAAUGAAGUUUCAUUCAAAUCUAUUCAAAUUUUAACCGAAAUAAAUUAGCCCGCAAGAACCCCCUGGUGAUGAACUGCCAAACUUUGCACGGCCGGGGCAUGAUGCAUCUUAUUAUCUGCAUCUCUUGCAUGCACAUUUCUUUAUACGCUUCAUUUCCUGUCUAGAUUGAUUUGCUACACUUUAUUUUGUUUUUCCUGACUUUAGUUCUUGUCUCCAGAUGAGUUUAAUUACUCAAUGAAUAAAUGUAUGAUCAUCGAUCAGCCUCUGCUACUUGAGUCAACUGAUUCUGUGCUCAAAUCCUUCAUAACAUAAUGCUUUGACGAAACAACUCGAGACCUGGUGGUGUGUGUAGUUGGGCUAAUGCAUGGGCUUCCCUUGACUACUACCUCCUGUACGGCUGAGCUGCAGAUUGUGAGAAGAAACUUCAAAUGUGAUUAACUGAUGGGAAUUAAAUUUGCUGAGAGAACGGAUCUUCUAGUUCAAAGAUUGAAUGAUUUAAAAGUAGGAACGAUCAUUGUAACGAUAUAAUAUGACCUCAACAAGAAGGAUGACUUGAGGCUUUAAAAUUUAGGGUGUGUUUAGAUCUAAAAUCUUUUUGGAUUUUGACACUGUAGCACUUUUGUUUGUACUUAGCAAAUAAGGUCUGCUAAUAAACAGGUGUAACACCCCUGGUGUUAUGAGCUCGUUUAGCGCC